GAUGAACGCUGGCGGCGUGCUUAACACAUGCAAGUCGAACGGAAAGGCCUCUGCUUGCAGGGGUACUCGAGUGGCGAACGGGUGAGUAACACGUGGGUGAUCUGCCCUGCACUUCGGGAUAAGCCUGGGCAACUGGGUCUAAUACCGGAUAGGACAAUGGUUUGGAUGCUGUUGUGGAAAGUUUUUCGGUGUUGGAUGAGCUCGCGGCCUAUCAGCUUGUUGGUGGGGUAAUGGCCUACCAAGGCGUCGACGGGUAGCCGGCCUGAGAGGGGGUACGGCCACAUUGGACACGAGAAACGGGACACAGUCCUACGGGAGGCAGGAGGGGGGAAUAUUGAACAAUGGGCGAAAGCCUGAUGCAGGGACGAGGAGUGGGGGAUGAGGGCCUUAGGGCUGUAGACUCCUUUCGCUAGGGACGAAGCGUUUUUGUGACGGUACCUGGAGAAGAAGCACCGGCUAACUACGUG
rnacentral:rRNA from 1 species